rnacentral:rRNA from 1 species
AUUGAACGCUGGCGGCAGGCCUAACACAUGCAAGUCGAGCGCGCGUCGGGCGGGUGAGUAAUGUCUGGGAAACUGCCUGAUGGAGGGGGAUAACAACUGGAAAAGGUAGCGAAAAUCGCAUACCAUCAGAUGUGCCCAGAUGGGAUUAGCGAGUGGGUGGGGUAAUGGCUCACCUAGGCGACGAUCCCUAGCUGGUCUGAGAGGAUGACCAGCCACACUGGAACUGAGACACGGUCCAGACUCCUACGGGAGGCAGCAGUGGGGAAUAUUGCACAAUGGGCGCAAGCCUGAUGCAGCCAUGCCGCGUGUGUGAAGAAGGCCUUCGGGUUGUAAAGCACUUUCAGCGGGGAGGCGUUACUCGCAGAAGAAGCACCGGCUAACUCCGUGCCAGCAGCCGCGGUAAUAC